rnacentral:misc_RNA from 1 species
GCAAAAUAGUCCUUUUCUUUCUCCCCCUCUCUCAAAGAAAAAGGCCAAAGCCCUUUGGCCUUUUCUCCUCUCUUAGACACUCAUCAAACACCUCAAGAAAACAGUUUGCUCUUCUUUUAUCUUUUCUUCUAUUCUCCUCUCUCACCAUGACAGACAGGGUUUACCCUUCUGCUAAACCUGCCACGAAUGGAGGCACCACUACUACCACCAGUCCCUCUUUUCCAGCCACCAAAGCCCAACUCUACGGUGCCAACCGCCCUGCCUACCGUCCACAACCCCAACGCCAACGCAGCCGACGCAGCUGCUGGUGUGCCUGUUGUCUCUGGCUAACCGUAAUCAUAUUCACUCUCCUCCUCCUCGCUGCCAUUGCUGGUGCCAUCAUCUACGUUAUCUACCGUCCCCACCGGCCCACCUUCGCCGUCUCUGGCCUCAAAGUCUCCUCUCUCAACCUCACUUCAUCUUCCCAUCUCACCACCAAUAUCAACUUGAACAUCACCACAAGAAACCCCAACAAGAAGCUCGUCUACAUCUACAACCCUGUCACUAUCUCUGUAACUACAGAGAAAGAGGAUAUUCUUAUAGGCAAUGGCUUGUUACCCUCUUUUGUGCAUGGCACCAAGAACACAACCUUGCUGAAGGCUACCAUCACAAGCAGUGGUCAACAGCUAGACGAUACCUCUUCUAGCGAAUUAAAGACAGAUUUAAAGAGCAAUAAUGGUUUGGGUUUGAAGAUAGAGUUGGAAACUAAGGUGAAAGUGAAGAUGGGAGGCUUAAAGACACCGAAGGUUGGGAUUAGAGUUUCCUGUGAAGGGAUUAAAGCUACGGUUCCUAGUGGGAAAACGGCAACUACAGCUUCAGUAUCUAAAGCUAAAUGCAAGGUUGAUUUGAGGAUCAAGAUCUGGAAAUGGACUUUCUGAGAUGGAAUUAAUUAUUAAUUCCAAGUGUUUAAUUUAGAAGAGAAAAAGGUGUGAUUUUUUUUUUAAUUUUCUUUUUAUUUAUAUUUUUUUCUUUUACUUUUUAUAUAUUUUUCCCUCGUAUAUGUAUAAUUUCUCCUCUUUCAUAUGUUAUACAAACUGAACAUGAUUGGGUGGUACAGAAAAUUUAUUUAUAUAUAGAUUUGAAAAUUUUUGUUUAUUUUUUUCAAAAAAUUCUCCAGCGAAUUGUUUUUAUUUUAUUUAUUAUAAUUAGUAACAAUAACAAUUACUUAUUGGCACGUAGAUCUGACCAUAUACUAUACUUGAAUUAAUGAUGAGUAACAACAUGUUUUGCCCUUUGUGGAA